rnacentral:rRNA from 1 species
CGUACACUCCUACGGGAGGCAGCAGUGGGGAAUAUUGGACAAUGGGCGCAAGCCUGAUCCAGCCAUGCCGCGUGAGUGAUGAAGGCCCUAGGGUUGUAAAGCUCUUUCACCGGUGAAGAUAAUGACGGUAACCGGAGAAGAAGCCCCGGCUAACUUCGUGCCAGCAGCCGCGGUAAUACGAAGGGGGCUAGCGUUGUUCGGAUUUACUGGGCGUAAAGCGCACGUAGGCGGGCUAUUAAGUCAGGGGUGAAAUCCCGGGGCUCAACCCCGGAACUGCCUUUGAUACUGGUAGUCUUGAGUUCGAGAGAGGUGAGUGAAAUUCCGAGUGUAGAGGUGAAAUUCGUAGAUAUUCGGAGGAACACCAGUGGCGAAGGCGGCUCACUGGCUCGAUACUGACGCUGAGGUGCGAAAGCGUGGGGAGCAAACAGGAUUAGAUACCCCGGUAGUCCCAUGA